GACAGAGGGGGCAAGCGUUGCUCGGAAUUACUGGGCGUAAAGGGCGCGUAGGCGGCCUGCUAAGUCGAACGUGAAAUCCCUGGGCUCAACCCAGGAACUGCGUCCGAUACUGGUUGGCUUGAAUCCGGGAGAGGGAUGUGGAAUUCCAGGUGUAGCGGUGAAAUGCGCAGAUAUCAGGAGGAACACCAAUGGCGAAGGCAGCACUCUGGG
rnacentral:rRNA from 1 species